GCACUGUUCUUGCACCUGCUCCUAGCCCUGAACUCGGGCCCUGAGCUCCUCACUGCCGCCCGCUCUGCGCUGAGCCCCACUCCUGAGACCGCGAGGUGCCAGAGCAGCGCCUCUCCCACCAACUCCUAGACGCCUGUAGGAGCUGCGCCGGAGCCUUCAGAACCCCAUGGGGGUGUGGGGGUGAAGUUGGAGGUCAUCCGGGUGAUUUUUUUCUUACUUUUUCCUAAUUGUUCUCCUGCGUUGAUUUCAACUCUUCCAGUCUCCCGGUGCUGGGGCGCCAAUCCUUUCCCAACAAUUCCUACCCACCAGCUGGAGGUCGGGGCCCAGGGUUACCCCAGAGUUCUAUGGUGGCAGGGGGCGCCGAGUAGAGGGGCGGGAGGAGCUGGGUCCUCGGGAACCAAAGGGGACCUCAGCGGGGGCGGAGUGCGCAGCCUUGGCUGCUGGGAAAUGCCCAACUAGCCGCUGUGAGUGCCCACAGCGCGUCGUGGGGGCGUCCGUUCUGCAGCUCGGGUGACUCAGACGCCCUGCCAACCCCACCAGCUCCCGGCUUCUCGAACGCUCUUCUGAUCGCCCAGCGGGGAGACUUCAGGGCCUGCCUCGUCAGGCCAGAUUGCAGCCCGCGACCUUCCCGGAUUAACCAAGGGCGGGGCCUGUUGCCCAGCAAGGCUGCUGCCUAACUGAGCCUCCCGGGGAACAGCCAUGACCAAAGCCCCGCGGGCCCAGGCGCGGGCACCUACCCCUACCCGCUCAGGCCUGUGGGAGCGCAGGGGCAGAGGCCGAGACGCUGGACUUCCAGCCCCACACCUCUGACAACCCGGGCACGUCUGCGGAGCCCGGGGGAACAGUCAGCGGGCUCUGCGUCCCGGGAGCUGGGGACACGCCUGCAAGGGCUUUCCGCCUGCACACAGUCAUUUGGAGAAAAUCAAGAGAGUUUUCAACCUUGGAAAUUGUGCAAUGUUCCAGCCGACUUAAUGGGCUUGCCUUAUGCGGAGAGGCAGUCCUGCAGGACAGAGCUAAUGUGUGGUCUCCCAGGAAGCUCAUCAGAACACCUCUUGUCCCUUUUCUUUAAAAGAAAAAAAAUUUAAAAAGUUUUUGCUUCCAUCUCAAUGUCCAUUCCAUUAUUUUGUAGCUACAAUAAAGAAACAUGGGCAGCAGUG
rnacentral:lncRNA from 1 species